CUAGCUCAGCUGGUAGAGCGCAACCUUGCCAAGGUUGAGGUCAUCGGUUCGAACCCGAUG
rnacentral:tRNA from 1 species